UCUCCUUAGGCAGUAAGGUCAGUCAAAGAACAACUGUUGAAGGCUUUGUCUGGAGCUGCUUUUCCAGGAAAAAAAGCAGAAAAUUAAUCCUUGUUAGUGAACGGGAGAAUGGUGCUGGUUUCAACAUUCAUCCUCUUGAGAGCAACUCCAGUUCCCUCUGAAAUCACUGGAAACCUGUAUCACCUGGACCAAGCCCCAAAGCCCAUCAUGCUGAGAAUCUACAUGCACCAUCCCAGCGGGUCCUGAUGGCUUGGCAACCUGGCCACUGCAAAAUUUGCAUGUCAGAUUUGGUGGUACCAUCCCUAUAUGCAAAACCUGCUUGGCACAACACUGGGAAAACCUGAGAAAGGCAUUUUCACGUGGAAAGUACCCUUUCUCAUCAAUUUGGGAUUUCUAAGCUGAUCACUUUUUUGUGUUGUUUGGUUUUCUCGGGAAUGAAAACACUGAACGUUCAGUGAUGGGAUCUCAUGUGACCAAUGGGAUUUUGUGGGUGGCAGAAUGAUAUGAGCAGGGAAGCAGAAAUGCUGUGCAGUGUGUUGCAGAUGCUGAGACAACGGGUUUACUGCACAUGCUGAGAAGAUGAUGAUGCUGGACCACAGCACGCUGCAGAGGAGCACAGCUUUUCUGAGUUCCCUGUGUCUCCCUUUCUGCCCUUUUUGUUUCAUGCCUGCAGAAAAGGUCGUUUUUUUUUAAGGUUUUUCUUUUUCUUUUUUUUUUUUUUCCAUUCCUGAAGAGGCCUUGAAAACUCAGAAACACAGAUCUUUCUAAACUUUCCAGUUAAAUAUUUACUGUCCCAGACAGAAAAUGCUUCAUUCAUCAGUUGUCUGAAUGCCUCCACCUGGAAAAGAAGCACUGAGCCUCAGAAAUCCUUCUGCAAACAAAUUCCUUCUCAUUACCGACUCCGUGGGCAUGACUGCUCUCAGGAAACUUGAAAGUCAAGCUACUCAAAAGUGCUGCCCAUACAUGUUUACCUUGGACUCUGGCUUCUCUCUUCAGACUAAAUCAGAGCAGAGCUGGCAGCUGCAAAAUCCUGCUUUCGACCCAAGGCCAGCAAGCAGGCUGUCUGCAAUGGGCAGUGUCCAUGGAAGCAGGUAUUCCAGGCCCUCAGACUUCAGCUGCAACCCUCUGAGAGAGACCAUAACAGUGAGUUCAAUGUGCACAACAAGACGAGGUGAAAGCUGA
rnacentral:lncRNA from 1 species